rnacentral:rRNA from 1 species
UACGUAGGGUGCGAGCGUUGUCCGGAAUUAUUGGGCGUAAAGAGCUCGUAGGCGGUUUGUUGCGUCGGCCGUGAAAACCUGCAGCUUAACUGCGGGCUUGCGGUUGAUACGGGCGGGCUAGAGUUCGGUAGGGGAGACUGGAAUUCCUGGUGUAGCGGUGAAAUGCGCAGAUAUCAGGAGGAACACCGGUGGCGAAGGCGGGUCUCUGGGCCGAUACUGACGCUGAGGAGCGAAAGCGUGGGGAGCGAACAGG